rnacentral:tRNA from 2 species
GCGUCUGUAGUUAAGGGGUAUAACGUCUGCCUUCCAAGCAGGAGACGCCGGUUCGAUCCCGGCUGGACGCUCCA